GUAACCCUGACGGUCCUAAGGUAGCGAAAUUCCUUGUCAAUUAAGUAUUGACCCGCAUGAAUGACGUAACGACUUCCCCACUGUCUCCAGAAUUGAUCCAGUGAAAUUACAAUUUACGUGAAGAUGCGUAAUAUUUACAGCGGGACGGAAAGACCCUAUGCACCUUUACUAUACUUUUAUAUUGAUUAGAAAAUAACUUAAAACGAAGAAUAAUUAUAGUUUAUGAUUUAUAAAUUUUGGUUUAUAAGAAGACAACAGUGAAAUAAUAAUUUUAAGUAUUUUUUCUAUCUAAUUUUUAAGAAAAACAAUAUAUGAGGGUAGUUUGGCUGGGGCGGCAACCUCCUAAAAAGUAACGGAGGUGUACAAAGGCAAUCUCAAUUUAAUAUCUAUUAAAAUUUGAGCGUAAUGGUAUAAGAUUGCUUAACUGUAAGAUUUACAAAUCAAGCAGAGAUUAAAAGUCGGUCAUAGUGAUCCAGUGGUAUUUUAUGGAAAAGCAUUGCUUAACGGAUAAAAGGUACGCUAGGGAU
rnacentral:rRNA from 1 species